AGGGCCACAGGAUAAAGAAGAGCAGCGUGGGAGCCGAAAGCCCUAGGGGCCAAAGCCGAGUCCUGGGUGGCCUCUGCAGCCAAGAGGGAAGGAGUCAGAAGCCAGCCCAGGAAAUACAAUGAAAAGGAAACCGGACAUGAUUAGACCCCAAAAGUGGGACACUCUGCAUGCCCCGAUGCCAGGACUAGUUCAGGCUGAGGAAUGUUAGAUGCUGAGCUGAAUGCCCUAGGUUUGGCAUCUGCCUUCCUGCAAAGUCAACAACAGCCAUAAUGAUGACGACCUACGGACACUGUGACCCUGCACUGGACAACAGCAGCUGGAAAGCAGCUUCACAACUAGGAAAAUCUGAGCUUGGAUUGGCUAUCUGGUGAUACUAAAGAAUUGUAAUGAAAUAUAUUCAGAGUAGAACUUUAUGGAUGUGUGUGUGUGUGUGUGUGUGUACAUAUACAUAUACUUUUUUUUUUUUCUUUUUGGCUGGCUUAGGACUCAGUGUGUAGCUUAGGCAAGCCUCAAAUUUCAUGAAUCCUCCUGACUGCCUCCAGGGUGUUAGGAUUGUAGGUAUGCUGUAACAAUCUACUUAAAAAUGCUGAGGACCAAGCCGGGCGGUGGUGGUGGCGCGCGCCUUUAAUCCCAGCACUCUGGAGGCAGAGCCAGGCGGAUCUCUGUGAGUUCGAGGCCAGCCUGGGCUACCAAGUGAGUUCCAGGAAAGGCGCAAAGCUACACAGAGAAACCCUGUCUCGAAAAACCAAAAAAAAAAAAAAAAAAAAUGCUGAG